GCCUACAGUUUUCAACAAUGAUGUGACUUGCACGACAAUUGAGGAGUUUGAGAUCCUUGCUUUUACUUUACCUGGCAGAGUGGACACUCUUUAUUAUGAUGAUCAUUUAAAUGCAUACUGUAUCAAUAAGAGGAUUUGUUUUAUGUUCUUCCAAUUAAGGACUUGGUUUAUUACAGUCCCUGUGGCAAGCAGUUUUCUGCAUGGUCAGCAUUGAAGGCCAUAUUGUCUUUGAGAGGGCCCAGCCAACAUUCCAGACAGGACAGUGUUAUCCAUCUUCUACAUCUUCAACCUCCAAUAUCAACAUGAGGCAGCCAAGACUUUGGUUCAUUCAACGUCGCUUCAUUGGGAUUAACCCAGAAAGGGGCACAAAAGCCGGUCAUGGAAAAAUGGUAUCCAGAAAGACAGGAAAGACCAUUCAAAAGAAAAAGUGACGGUCAAUGUUCAGGUUUCCGCCCUCAUCAAAAACCUGAUGGACUUUGAGUGGCAUCUCAUUCAGCAAGUGCCACUUGGACUCUUGAAAACCAUUAAUAGUUCACAUUUUAAAACCCUGUUAAUACUAGAAUUCCACAUUAUUUCAGCCAUGUUGAAUUUUAGAUUUUGGAAGUAAUUUUUCUUUGAUUUGUUUAGUGAUACCCAAAGCAUGGGCAUUUCUUUAAGAACUGUGUUUUUAUGUUCAUAAGA